rnacentral:rRNA from 1 species
GUGAGGAAUAUUGGACAAUGGGCGCAAGCCUGAUCCAGCCAUGCCGCGUGCAGGAAGACGCAUCUAUGGUGUGUAAACUGCUUUUGUACGGGAAGAAACACUCCCUCGUGAGGGAGCUUGACGGUACCGUAAGAAUAAGGAUCGGCUAACUCCGUGCCAGCAGCCGCGGUAAUACGGAGGAUCCAAGCGUUAUCCGGAAUCAUUGGGUUUAAAGGGUCCGUAGGCGGUUUAAUAAGUCAGUGGUGAAAGCCCAUCGCUCAACGAUGGAACGGCCAUUGAUACUGUGAGACUUGAAUUACAAGGAAGUAACUAGAAUAUGUAGUGUAGCGGUGAAAUGCUUAGAUAUUACAUGGAAUACCAAUUGCGAAGGCAGGUUACUACUUGUGGAUUGACGCUGAUGGACGAAAGCGUGGGGAGCGAACAGGAUUAGAAACCCCUGUAGUCC